AUUGAACGCUGGCGGCAGGCCUAACACAUGCAAGUCGAACGAGUGGCGGACGGGUGAGUAAUGUCUGGGAAACUGCCUGAUGGAGGGGGAUAACUACUGGAAACGGUAGCUAAUACCGCAUACCAUCGGAUGUGCCCAGAUGGGAUUAGCUAGUAGGUGGGGUAAAGGCUCACCUAGGCGACGAUCCCUAGCUGGUCUGAGAGGAUGAACGGCCACACUGGAACUGAGACUCGGUCCAGACUCCUACGGGGGGGAGCAGUGGGGAAUAUUGCACAAUUGGGGCCAGCCUUAUGCAGCCAUGCCGCGUGGAUGAAGAAGGCCUUCGGGUUGUAAAGUACUUUAAGCGGGGAGGCGUUACCCGCAGAAGAAGCACCGGCUAACUCCGUGCCAGCAGCCGCGGUAAUUC
rnacentral:rRNA from 1 species